rnacentral:rRNA from 1 species
ACGAUGAACNACUUCGGUGGGGAUUAGUGGCNNNNGGGUGAGUAACACGUGGGCAAUCUGCCCUGCACUCUGGGACAAGCCCUGGAAACGGGGUCUAAUACCGGAUACUGAUCCGUCUGGGCAUCCAANCGGUUCGAAAGCUCCGGCGGUGCAGGAUGAGCCCGCGGCCUAUCAGCUUGUUGGUGAGGUAGUGGCUCACCAAGGCGACGACGGGUAGCCGGCCUGAGAGGGCGACCGGCCACACUGGGACUGAGACACGGCCCAGACUCCUACGGGAGGCAGCAGUGGGGAAUAUUGCACAAUGGGCGAAAGCCUGAUGCAGCGACGCCGCGUGAGGGAUGACGGCCUUCGGGUUGUAAACCUCUUUCAGCAGGGAAGAAGCGAAAGUGACGGUACCUGCAGAAGAAGCGCCGGCUAACUACGUGCCAGCAGCCGCGGUAAUACGUAGGGCGCGAGCGUUGUCCGGAAUUAUUGGGCGUAAANAGCUCGUANGCGGCUUGUCACGUCGGUUGUGAAAGCCCGGGGCUUAACCCCGGGUCUGCANUCNAUACNGGCAGGCUAGAGUUCGGUAGGGGAGAUCGGAAUUCCUGGUGUAGCGGUGAAAUGCGCAGAUAUCAGGAGGAACACCGGUGGCGAANGCGGAUCUCUGGGCCGAUACUGACGCUGAGGAGCGAAAGCGUGGGGAGCGANCAGGAUUANAUACCCUGGUAGUCCACGCCGUAAAACGGGUGGGCACUAGGUGUGGGCAACANUUCCACGUUGUCCGUGCCNCANC